GACGAACGCUGGCGGCGUGCUUAACACAUGCAAGUCGAACGGAAAGGCCCUGCUUGCAGGGUACUCGAGUGGCGAACGGGUGAGUAACACGUGGGUGAUCUGCCCUGCACUUCGGGAUAAGCUUGGGAAACUGGGUCUAAUACCGGAUAGGAGCCAUCUUUAGUGUGGUGGUUGGAAAGUUUUUUCGGUGUAGGAUGAGCUCGCGGCCUAUCAGCUUGUUGGUGGGGUAAUGGCCUACCAAGGCGGCGACGGGUAGCCGGCCUGAGAGGGUGUACGGCCACAUUGGGACUGAGAUACGGCCCAGACUCCUACGGGAGGCAGCAGUGGGGAAUAUUGCACAAUGGGCGCAAGCCUGAUGCAGCGACGCCGCGGGGGGGAUGAAGGCCUUCGGGUUGGAAACUCCUUUCGCUAGGGACGAAGCUUUUUGUGACGGUACCUAGAUAAGAAGCACCGGCUAACUACGUG
rnacentral:rRNA from 1 species